rnacentral:rRNA from 1 species
CCUACGGGUGACAGCAGUAGGGAAUCUUCCACAAUGAGCGCAAGCCUGAUGGAGCGACACCGCGUGCGUGAAGAAGGGUUUCGGCUCGUAAAGCUCUGUUGUUGGAGAAGAACGUGCGUAAUAGUAACUGAUCACGCACUGACGGUACCCUACCAGAAAGUGACGGCUAACUAAGUGCCAGCAGCCGCGGUAAUACGUAGGUGGCAAGCGUUAUCCGGAUUUAUUGGGCGUAAAGCGUGCGGAGGCGGUUUGUUAGGUCUGGUGGGAAAUCCCUCGGUUUAACCGAAGAAGGGCUUCGGAAACAGGGCAACUUGAGUGCAAAAGAGGACAGUGGAACUCCAUGUGAAGCGGUGGAAUGCGUAGAUAUAUGGAAGAACACCAGAGGCGAAGGCGGCUGUCUGGG